rnacentral:lncRNA from 1 species
UCUCCUGAUUUACGAAAACUCCCCGACUGAAGUGGAGGCGAGAAACGCCAUCGAGAUGCUGAAAACGGCGGUGGUACAACAUGCACAAUAUUCACAUAUCCGUGACCGGUUACACUCCACGCCCUAGGCGAGUCACACCAGGAGUCGCCGUGAUGACCUGCGUGCGGUGACCAGCGUGCAACGGUGCCUGCCGCAGACCAACCCGCCCGGGAUGCCCGAUACACGAG